AUGGACCAUUCCAUCCCGUUUUCCCGUGCAUAUGCAUCGGAUUCGGAUGACAAAGGUCCGGAACAAGUUGAUGAGGAGGGGUUCACGGUGAAGGAGGCCAAAGCUUUCGAGAAGGUAUUAGGCCGGGAUCACAAGACACCAUUGUUCAAGGAUGUUAGUCUCACGGAUGAAGCCGUUGUGGAUGGUGGCAAAUCUAUAUCUCUUGGGGUUAGGCCAAGCUCUCAU
rnacentral:rRNA from 1 species